UUCCGCAAUGGGCGAAAGCCUGACGGAGCAAGACCGCGUGAGGGAGGAAGGCCUACUGGUUGUAAACCUCUUUUGAUAGGGAAGAAGAAAGUGACGGUACCUAUCGAAUCAGCAUCGGCUAACUCCGUGCCAGCAGCCGCGGUAAUACGGAGGAUGCAAGCGUUAUCCGGAAUUAUUGGGCGUAAAGCGUCCGUAGGUGGUUAUUCAAGUCAGCUGUCAAAGGAUGGAGCUUAACUCCAUAAAGGCAGUUGAAACUGUGUAGCUAGAGUGCGAUAGGGGCAAGGGGAAUUCCCAGUGUAGCGGUGAAAUGCGUAGAUAUUGGGAAGAACAUCGGUGGCGAAAGCGCCUUGCUGGGUCUGCACUGACACUGAGGAC
rnacentral:rRNA from 1 species